rnacentral:rRNA from 1 species
GACAGAGGGUGCAAACGUUGCUCGGAAUUACUGGGCGUAAAGCGCGUGUAGGCGGGCUGAUAAGUCGGACGUGAAAUCCCUGGGCUCAACCCAGGAACUGCAUCCGAAACUGUCAGUCUGGAGUGGUGGAGAGGGAAGCAGAAUUCCUGGUGUAGAGGUGAAAUUCGUAGAUAUCAGGAGGAACACCGGUGGCGAAGGCGGCUUCCUGGACACUAACUGACGCUGAGACGCGAAAGCGUGGGGAGCAAACAGG